AUGGCGACCUCGUCAUCCCAGGCGGCGCCGCCCGUCGCCGUCGGCGAGGAUCCAGCGGCGCCCGCAAAGGGAGAAGAGAGGACGAAGAAGGAGAAGACGAGGGUGGUCUUGCCGCAGUUCCACCUGGACACGCUCAUGAGGGCCGAGGAAUUCCUGGAGCCUCUGCCGCCGACGGACAAGGAGUUUCUUGCGCGGGUCCGCGAGCAGCGCGUGCAGAAGGGCUUCGUCGAGAUAGAACUCACCGACGACGACGAAGACGAGGAGGAGGAAGAGGGAGGAAACGCAGCUCCCCCGGCUGGUGGAAGGGGAUCUAUGGAGGACAGGUUCAGCCCCGAGGUGACCAAGAAACCGGACGGCGGCUGCGGCGGCGGCACUGCGAUCAAGAAGCUCAGCUGA
rnacentral:rRNA from 1 species